GGGACUAUGGAUCAGUGGUACAGCGUUUGCUUAGCAUUCAGAAGGCCCCAGGAUCGUUUCCUGUUAUGUCCUG
rnacentral:tRNA from 1 species